rnacentral:lncRNA from 13 species
CUUAGAGAGACAGGAGAGGAUGGGGGAACCUGGUGGAGGCCAGCUGUGCCAAGUCCAGCUCUGUCAACCUUAAAAGGGGUUGGGUGUGGGGGGUUUGGAUUGGCUGCCUCUGGGGUUUCUUCUAGAUCACAUCUACUCUGCGUCAACUGCAGGCCACUGGCUGUUUGGGGAGAGCCCUAAGGAUGAAGGCACAGGGAAGGGGUACAGCUGGAACUGGGAAUGGUUGUUACUGCUCAAGCAUGAUGGUAAAGUUGCCAUCGUGUCUCUGACUUAUGAAGCGCGAUGUGGCCUGUUGCGGUCUGGACGGGGUAGGGAGAGGCUCUGUUCCCGUCAGCAAUGUGUUGUGUCUGCUUGCUGUGGGGAUGGGUCCGUCCAGCACACUGCCUAUUAUACCCAUUUUUGGGGACCUGCAAUUCGCCUCAAAUACCAGGAAUCCAUCCUCAUGUUACUGGAUAGAGCUGUCCAGGUUCCUGGUGUUUUGAAUAAAGAAUUGAACAAAACUCACAGAGCAAUAGAAGAACGGAGCGGUGCACAGAUUUUCUGAAGACAGUUCAGAGUGGGAGUGUGCUCGAGCAAGUGUCUCCGGAGCCUGCCUAAUUAGGAUUUCUGUUGAGCUAAAGAAACAGCAACACCACCUGGUGCCCUUUAGCGGCCUCCGAUUGGCUACAGCCCAUGAAGAAUUGGCCUGUGACCAAUCAGAGGCUGAAGUGGCUUGUUAUGCGAGUGAGGGUGUGGCCGAUAAACUGCAGCUGCUGCUCCUGCUUCUACGAAUUGGCUGCACCUGCUGAGUCCCGUUCCCCUAACUCCCUAUUUUCCAGCCACACUCAUGCUCUAGGAGUGCCCCUCACUUUAGGCUCAUUAUGACUAAAGAAGGGGAGCUGAGGACUUGUCAUCGCUUCACUACAGAGAAAAGGGCAUUAAAAGUAUUUAAUAAGCAGCCAGGCACAGUGGCUCAUGCCUGUAGUCCCAGCUACUCGGAAGGCUGAGGCAGGAGAAUCGCUUGAACCUGGGAGGCAGAGGUUGCAGUGAGCCAAGAUUGUGCCAUUGCACUCCUGCCUGGGCGACAAGAAGGAAACUGUCUCGAAAAAAAAAAAAAGUAAGUAGUAAGCAUGUGUUGAGUACUGUGGUGUUCCAGGCACUGUUCUAAGUCCUGGGGUGCAACAGUUUGAAUGUGUCUCCUCCAAAAUUCAGGUGUUGCCAAUGGGACGUUGAGAGGCAGGGCUUUCAGGGGCGAUCAGGCCGUGAGGGUCGCUCCCUGGUGAGUGGGAUUAAGAUCCUUCUAGAAGAGCUUUGCCCAGCAUGUGGCUGGCUUGCCCUCCCAACCUCACCACGUGAGGACACAGCCUUCCUCCCCUCUGGAGGGUGCAGCCUCAUUCGAGAGCCAACCUGCCGGGGCCUUGAUCCUGGACUUUCUAGCCUCCAGGACUGUGAACAUUACAUUUCUGAUCUUUAUAAAUUACGCAGUCUGUGGUAUCCUGUUAGCGCAACAUGAAACAAACUCAGACUUGGGAAUACAGUGGGGGGCAAGGCGGGUGAGGACCCUGGUCUCCAGGAGCUCACGUGUUAGCAGAUGUUAAACCCACUGCUGUACGUGCUCGAGCAGGAACAUAGCUGAAAAGAGGUCGAUUUUCAGCACGGACUCCGUCAUCUCCCUGGACUCUGGCCAGCUUUUCUGCUCCUCCCUCCGAGAUGAAGCUGCUUUCUAUUUUGAUCAGGCUCAGAGAUUCCAGGCCCGAUGCCGCUGACCUGCUCGAUCUUCUGAGGUGGGCGGGCAGUGUCUGUAGGCUCCAUCCCUGUAUGGAAUAUCCCCGUCACCGGAGGCAAUGGUGGCUGGUCCAGCACGAGUCAUCACUUUUCCCUGAGGAGAGGAGAUGAUCGCUCAGCUGUUCACAGCACUUUGCUCUGGCUUCAUCAUACCCUUUUCAGAAGUAUCAGAACUCCCUUCAGGAAAAUAAAAGGGUGCAGCCUCCAAAGGGGGCA